GAUGAACGCUGGCGGCGUGCCUAAUACAUGCAAGUCGAGCGAACAGACGAGGAGCUUGCUCCUCUGACGUUAGCGGCGGACGGGUGAGUAACACGUGGAUAACCUACCUAUAAGACUGGGAUAACUUCGGGAAACCGGAGCUAAUACCGGAUAAUAUAUUGAACCGCAUGGUUCAAUAGUGAAAGACGGUUUUGCUGUCACUUAUAGAUGGAUCCGCGCCGCAUUAGCUAGUUGGUAAGGUAACGGCUUACCAAGGCAACGAUGCGUAGCCGACCUGAGAGGGGGAUCGGCCACACUGGAACGGGAACACGGUCAAGACUCCUACGGGAGGCAGCAGUAGGGAAUCUUCCGCAAUGGGCGAAAGCCUGACGGAGCAACGCCGCGUGAGUGAUGAAGGUCUUCGGAUCGUAAAACUCUGUUAUUAGGGAAGAACAAAUGUGUAAGUAACUAUGCACGUCUUGACGGUACCUAAUCAGAAAGCCACGGCUAACUACGUG
rnacentral:rRNA from 1 species